rnacentral:rRNA from 1 species
AGGAAUAUUGGUCAAUGGGCGUAAGCCUGAACCAGCCAAGUCGCGUGAGGGAGGACGGCCCUACGGGUUGUAAACCUCUUUUGCCGGGGGACAAACGGCGGCACGCGUGCCGUCCUGAGGGUACCCGGAGAAAAAGCAUCGGCUAACUCCGUGCCAGCAGCCGCGGUAAUACGGAGGAUGCGAGCGUUAUCCGGAUUUAUUGGGUUUAAAGGGUGCGUAGGCGGGAUGCCAAGUCAGCGGUCAAAUACGGGGGCUCAACCCCGGCGAGCCGUUGAAACUGUCGGACUAGAGACGGCGAGAAGUACGCGGAAUGCGCGGUGUAGCGGUGAAAUGCAUAGAUAUCGCGCAGAACUCCGAUUGCGAAGGCAGCGUACCGGCGCCGGCCUGACGCUGAGGCACGAAAGCGUGGGUAUCGAACAG